UUUUUUUUCCUUAUCUAACUGCCAUGGUUAGGAUUUCCACUACUAUGUUGACUAAAAGUGGUCAGAGUGCACAUCCUUGUUUUGUUCCUAAUCUUAGAGGAAAAGCUUUUGGCUUUUUACCAUUGAGUAUGAUGUUAGUUUGGGUUUGUCAUAUAUAGUCUUUAUUAUGUUAAUGUAUAGUCUGCCUAUAGCCAGUUUGUUAAGUUUUCACAUGGAUGCUGAAUUUUGUCAAAUGUUUUUUUAUCCAUCUAUUGAGAUAACCAUAUGAUUCUAUCCUUCAUUUUUAAUGUGAUGUAUCACAUUGACUGAUUUGUGGAUAAUAAAACAUCCUUAUGUCCCUAAAAUAAAUCCCACUUAAUCAUGGUACAUAGUCCUUUUAAUAUAUUGUUGGAUUUGGUUAACUAAUGCUUUGUUGAGAAUUUUUACACUUAUGUUCAUCAAGAAUAUUGGCAUGUAAUUUUCUUUUCUGUGCAAUUUCCUUGUCUGGUUUUUGUAACCUAAAACAAAAGUUUCCCUCCUCUUAAGUUUUCUGGAAUAGUUUGAGAAGAACAGGUAUUAAAUCUGUGACUGUUUUACAAAAUUAAAGAAGACACUGUCUGGUCUGUAAUUUCUGUUUGUUGAAAGGCUUUUGUUUACUGUUUCAAUGUUCUUACUAGUAAUGAGUCUAUCCAGAGUUUCUAUUUCUUCAUGAUUCAGUCUUGAAAGAUUGUAUGUUUCUCUAGGAAUUUAACCAUUUCUUCUAUGUUGUCCAAUUCAUUGGCAUAUAAUUUCACAUAGUAGUCUCCUAUGAACGUUUGCCUUUCUGUGAUAUAAGCUGUAACUUCUCUUUCUGAUUUUGAGUCCCCUUUCUUUUCUCCUUAGUCAGCCUAGCUAAAGGUUUGCUGACUUUGUUUAUCAUUUCAAAGAACCAGCUCUUAGAUUCAUUGGUCUUUUCUUCCAUUUUUGUUUUUGGGUUGUUUUUUUUUUUUUUAAUUUUAUGUUUCAUUUAUUCCUGCCCUGGUCUGUACUAUUUCCUUCCUUCUACUAAUUUGGGGCUGCAUUUGUUCUUCUGUUUCUAGUUUCUUUCAGUGUAAAGUUAGAUUGUUUGAGAUUUUUUUGUUUCUUGAAGUAGGCCUGUAUUGCUAUGGUCUUCUGUCCAUUUUUUAUUAGGUUUUUUUUUUUUGAUAUAAAGCUCCAUGAGAUGUUUGUACAUUCUGGCAGUUAAUCCCUUGUCAGUCCCUUCAUUUGCAAAUAUUUUCUCCCAUUCUGUGGGGUUGUUUUUUCAUUUUUGUUUUUGUUUCUAUGCUCUCCUUUGCUAUGCAAAGCUUUUGAGUUUAAUUAGGUCCCACUUGUUUUAUUUUCAUUACUCUAGGAGAUGGAUCCAAAAGAUUACUGCUGUGAUUUAUGUCAAAAAGAGGGUUCUACCUAUAUUUUCCUCAAGAGUUUUAUAGCAUGUGACCUUUCAUUUAGGUCUUUAAUCCAUUUUGAGUUUAUUUUUAUGCAUGGUAUGAAAGAAUGUUCUAAUUUCAUUCUUUUGUUUGCUUUUUGUUUUUUCUUUUUACAGCUAUACCUGCAGCAUAUGGGAGUUCCCAGGCUAGGGGCUGAAUCAGAGCUGCAGCUGAAGUCUACGACACAGCCAUGGCUACACCAGAUCCAAGCCACAUCUGUGACCUAAGCUGAAGCUUAUGGCAACACCAGAUUCUUAACCCACUGAGUGAGGUCAGGGAUUGAACCCUCAACCUCAGAGAGACAAAGUCAGGUUCUUAACCUGCUGAGCCACAAUGGGAACUUCUCUAAUUUCAUUCUUUUUUUUUUUUUNUUUUUUUUUUUUUUUUUUUGCUUUUUAGGGCUGCAGCAUGUGGAAAUUCCCAGGCUAGGGAUCAAAUCAAAGCUGCAGUUGCCAGCCUACACCGCAGCCACAGCAAUGCCAGAUCCGAGCUACAUCUGUGACCUGCACCAUAGCUCACAGCAAUGCCAGAACCUUAACCCACUGAGUGAGGCCAGGGAUCGAACCCUCAUCUAUAUAAUACUAGCCCAGAUUCGUUUCCUCUGUGCCACUAUGGGAACUUCCAAUUUCAUUCUUUUACAUGCAACUGUCCAGUUUUCCCAGCACCACCCAUUGAAGAGGAUCUCUUUUCUCCACUGUAUAUUCUUGCCUCUGUUGUUGUACAUUAAUUGACCAUAAGUGGGUGGGUUUAUUUUUUGGCUUUCUAUCCUAUUUCACUGACCUAUAUAACCAUUUUUGUACCAGCACUAUACUGUUUUGUUUACUGUAGCUUUGAAGUAUAGUAUAAAGUUAUGAAGCCUGAUUCCUCCAGCUCUGUUUUUCUUUCUCAAGAUUGUUUUGGCUAUUUGGGGUCUUGUGUUUCCACACAAAUUUCAAAAUUUUUGUUCUAGUUCUGUGGAAAAUGGCAUUGGUAAUUUAACAGGGGUUGCACUGAAUUUGUAGAUUGCCUUGGGUAACUAUAGCCAUUUUGACAUUUGGCCUCUUUUGAUUGCAGAAUUUAGUCUAUUUGUAUUCAAAGUAAUUACUGAUAAGUACAUACUUCCUCCAUUUUUUUAAAUGUUUUCUGGCUGUAUUUGAAGUUCUUUUCUGUUCCUUUUUUCUUCUUUCUCUCUUCUCUUGUGCUUUGAUGAUUUUUCUCUAGGGCUAUGCUUUAUUUCUUCCUAUUUUCAUUAGUGUAUUUACUAUAAGAUUUUUCCCUGUGUUUACUGUGAUGUUCACAUAUAACAUCCUAUUUAAAUAGUAGUGUUAAAUUUGAAUGCAUUCCAAAGUUUUAUCUUUUUACUCCCCCCAACAUUUUAUAUAUCCAUUGAUAUAUUUUACAUCUUUUUAUUUUAUACAUCCCUUAACUACUUGUUGUAAUUUUAAUUAGUUUUACUACUUUUGUGUUUUAACCUUCACAUUUGUUUUAUAAGCAAUUGAUCCACUACCUUUAUUGUAUAGUUACCUUUUCCAGUGAUAUUUUCACUCUUAUUUUCUUAGCAUUAAUUAGUACCAUUUAUUUUCUUUGAACACUAGAGUCCCUUUAACAUUUCUUGUAGGGUCAGUCUGAUGGUGAUGAAUUCCUUUAGUUUUUACUUAUCUGAGAAACUCUUCAUCUCUCCUUCAAUUAUAAGUGAUAAUCUUGUUAGGUAGAGAAUUCUUGAUUACAAGCUUUUUCCUUUUAACACUUUGAAUAUGACA
rnacentral:lncRNA from 1 species